rnacentral:rRNA from 1 species
GACGAACGCUGGCGGCGUGCUUAACACAUGCAAGUCGAACGGAAAGGCCCUGCUUUUGUGGGGUGCUCGAGUGGCGAACGGGUGAGUAACACGUGAGUAACCUGCCCUUGUCUUUGGGAUAACUUCAGGAAACUGGGGCUAAUACCGGAUAGGAGCUCUUGCUGCAUGGUGGGGGUUGGAAAGUUUCGGCGGUUGGGGAUGGACUCGCGGCUUAUCCGCUUGUUAGUGGGGUAGUCGCUUCCCAAGGGUUUGACGGGUAGGCGGCCUGAGAGGGUGAACAGGCACAUGGCGACUGCGAUACGGCGCAGUCUCCUACGGGAGGCAGCAGUCGAGAGUAUGGCACAGUGGGCCGAAGCCAGAUGCAGCAACGCUGCGUGCGGAAUGACGGCCUACGGGUUGUAAACCACUGUCGCCUGUGACGAGGCGGGAGUGACGGUAAUGGGUAAAGAAGCACCGGCUAACUACGUG